rnacentral:misc_RNA from 1 species
UGUGAACUGCAGGACACACGAACAUCGACAAUUCGAACGCACAUUGCGGUCCGGGAAACGCCUCGGCGUUCCGGGACCACGUCAGGCUGAGGGUCGUUUUCUACGAAAGCGGCACGGUCUCGUCGCGACCGAGUCGGCGGCGCCGAUCCGAACAGGAACGCCCCCGCGCUACGAGUCGCGACCACCUUGCGCUUGCAGAGACUGUCGUCGUGCUUGCACGACGGCGAGAUUGAAAGUUGUUCGCAGUAUCCGCAGAGGGACUGCGUCUUUUUGAAAAACACACGCGCAUACAACGCACGCACGCAGGUCGUGCCGUCGCUGUUGUCGUCGCCGUUGUGAUCAAAUUGUGUGGAAAAAGAACCGAAAGGUUAAUUUUUUUGUUGCAGCCGCACGCGAAGUGGUCGCCUUCUGCCGCCCCCGUCGUAUGGCGCGACGUAUUCUCUAGCCGCCACGUGCGCGUGAGAAUAUCGUAUGCUGCCUCGUCGUGUGCGGAUUGGUGGAAGCGUGCACCGGCUGAAGCGUGCGUGCCUACGCAAAAACGUGGCGUGUACCCACGUGCUUGUGCGAACGGAGCAAAUCAAACGCUCCGCAUCGUGUCGAUCGAAUCGGGCGACGUUGACCGUCGCCCCUCUCGCCAUUUCGUGCUCGCAUGUCCGCGCCGCCGACGUGUCGUAGAACGUCGACGUCCGGCCGGCAGGCGUUUCAGACUAAGUCGAGAAACGAAAGUGUGCGUCGAGAGGGAGCGCCGCGACUCCUCGAUUCGAUUUUUUCGGUCUUUUGGUGCGCGUGACCGAUCGCGAUGCGGGGACGAGCUCACCCUAAUUUUCUGAUGUCGAAGACAUGCACAACAACGCGCGUCGGCGUGUUUAACGCGUCGUCGUGGCGUCGUGUGGCAAAGUUCGCAUACGUGCGUGCAGUGUGGCACACACCCUUUCGCACGGUUCUUUUUUCGAUGAUGCACAAUAUUUUUUUAACACACACGCACACACACACGACCUCAGUUCGGGCGAGAUCACCCGCUAAACUUAAGCAUAUCGCUAAGCGGAGGAAAAGAAACUAACUAGGAUUCCCUUAGUAGCUGCGAGCGAACAGG